rnacentral:tRNA from 2 species
GGAGAGCUGUCCGAGUGGUCGAAGGAGCACGAUUGGAAAUCGUGUAUACGUUAAUCGCGUAUCGAGAGUUCGAAUCUCUCGCUCUCCG